AUACUACUCCCUCCGUCCGAAAAUACUUGUCAUUGAAAUUGAUGUAUCUAGACGUAUUUUAGUUCUAGAUACAUCCAUUUUUCAUCCAUUUUGAUGACAAGUAUUUCCGGACGGAGGGAGUAUAUG
rfam:Triticum aestivum genome assembly, contig: Triticum_aestivum_CS42_TGACv1_scaffold_002521_1AL